rnacentral:misc_RNA from 1 species
GAAAUGCGAUAAGUAGUGUGAAUUGCAGAAUUCAGUGAAUCAUCGAAUCUUUGAACGCACAUUGCGCCCUUUGGUAUUCCUUAGGGCAUGCCUGUUCGAGCGUCAUCUAAACCUUCAAGCCCUGCUUGGUGUUGGGUGCCUGUCCCGCCUCCGCGCGCGGACUCACCUCAAAUCCAUUGGCGGCCCCCGCGUCGGCCACGAGCGCAGCAGAAACGCGAACUCGUGAGCCCGUCCGGGCGGCUCCCAGAAGCUACACCCACCCAGUUUGACCUCGGAUCAGGAAGGGAUACCGGGUGAACGUGAGC